rnacentral:tRNA from 1 species
CUGGGAUUAGCUCAGCGGUAGAGCGGCGCGUUUGGGGCGUGCAGGCCCUCGGUUCGAUCCCGAGAUCCCAGA